rnacentral:tRNA from 1 species
GGGGCUGUAGCUCAGUGGUAGAGUGCACGCCUGCACUUGUUAGGCACUGAGUUCAAUCCUCAGCACCACA